GUGAACCUGCGGAAGGAUCAUUAUUGAAUAAAUAUGGUGGGUUGUAGCUGGCUUCAUGAAGCAUGUGCACACUCACUGUCUUUAUUUAUCCCUCUGUGCAUCAUUUGUAGUCCUGGAGAGCAAGUAGCUCAGCUCCCGUGUUGGAAGGGAAGUGAUUCCUUUUCAAGCGAGUAUUGGGUGUCUGAUCCAGGUCUAUGUAUUUUCAUAAACAAUGUAGUAUGUCGCAGAAUGUAGUCAAUGGGGUCAUUGUCCCCACAGAUCUAUAUACAACUUUCAGCAACGGAUCUCUUGGCUCUCGCAUCGAUGAAGAACGCAGCGAAAUGCGAUAAGUAAUGUGAAUUGCAGAAUUCAGUGAAUCAUCGAAUCUUUGAACGCACCUUGCGCUUCUUGGUAUUCCGAGGAGCAUGCCUGUUUGAGUGUCAUUAAAUUCUCAAUCCUCUCCAGUUGUUUUAUUGACUGGUUGUGGCUUGGAAAUUGGGGGUUUCUGCAGGCCUAUAAUUCGGGUCAGCUCCCCUGAAAUAUAUUAGCGGAACCGUCUGCGGUCUGUUACUGGCGUGAUAAUUAUCUGCACUAAGACUGCUUUCCGUUUUGUUCAGCUUCUAAUUGUCUUUUCACGGACAACAAUUUGAUCAUUUGACCUCAAAUCAGGCAGGACUGCCC
rnacentral:rRNA from 2 species